rnacentral:lncRNA from 1 species
GUGGGUCUCGAUUCUUUAUUGCCGUGCGGCGGCGGCGGCGGCGGCGGGCAUGUGCGCGGGUCGAAGAAGGGCGGCUUCCCAGGUUAACGCCCGGCCCCCCGGCUCCUGAAAUGGCCACACCUCCAUGUGAGCAACCACCCACCAUUGGAGAGCUCGAGAGAGUCGGUGCAAGAGGGAGGCAAUCAAACAUGGAGAAUGAUGCAAUAAAAACUGUGCACGGGAGGUAGGAGCCCCACUCUCGAUGGGGAGAGAGAGAGAGAGAGAGAGAGAGAGAGAGAGAGAGAGGAGUUUUUAAGUAUUUGGGUGCACAGAGAAAUUUUAAAUUAAUUAUCGCGAAGAGCUGCUGAAUUGGAGAAACAUGCAACUGGCGAUUAGAACGGGCCCCUUGUGGAAGUUCCGAGAAUCUGAGACAAUGGGCCGUAUUGGCGGGAGAGCCGGGCCAGCGGACGCCGAGAGAUUGAAGAGGCGAGGAAGCUCGAAG